AUUGAACGCUGGCGGCAGGCCUAACACAUGCAAGUCGAGCGAGCGGCGGACGGGUGAGUAAUGUCUGGGAAACUGCCUGAUGGAGGGGGAUAACUACUGGAAACGGUAGCUAAUACCGCAUACCAUCAGAUGUGCCCAGAUGGGAUGAGCUAGUAGGGGGGGUAAUGGCUCUCCUAGGCUACGAUCCGUAGCUGGUCUGAGAGGAUGACCAGCCACACUGGAACUGAGACACGGACCAGACUCCGACGGGAGGCAGCAGUAGGGAAGAUUGCGCAAUGGGCGCAAGCCUGAUGCAGCCAUGCCGCGUGUGUGAAGAAGGCCUUCGGGUUGUAAAGCACUGUCAUCGGGGAGGCGUUACCCGCAGAAGAAGCACCGGCUAACUCCGUGCCAGCAGCCGCGGUAAUAC
rnacentral:rRNA from 1 species